CGCGACCCCAGGUCAGGCGGGACUACC
rnacentral:rRNA from 1 species